UAACAAACUGAUCUUGAGCUCUUCUUUCUAGCUUGCUGGGACAUGGUAUUCCAAUUCAUUUGUCUUGAGAAACCAUGAGCCGGUGGACGUAACCUCCAUUGAUGAGGUAGUGGAGCCUUCUGACGCAGGAGAUUUGCUUCUCAAGAUACGCUUCAUUUUCGAAGGAGCAUGUCAAGAGACUGAUCUUAACAUAGUGCACACAGACCAGCCUGGUGUAUUCACAGUCCCUGAUUCCCCUGAAAUCGUACAUAUGGUGGAUGUAGAUUAUGGAAGUUACCAUAUUAUGCAUGUUACAAAUGGGGAUACCUAUAGCCUGUAUCUCCUAAGCAGAACACGAGAAGCAUCAGAUGAUGUGAAAACAAAAUUCAGUGAACUUGCUGGAACUCUGGGAUUUGAUGUGAACCAAAUAAUCUCUACACCCCUAGCAGAGUCAUGCCCAUAAUGUUACUAUGUAUAGCCUAACAUGGGGUUGCUGAAGUGAGUUGCAGCACAAUCCUAUUCAGGUCUACUCAGAACAAAAUUGCCUCCUGUGUUCAGUGUUGCUUACUCUCAG